rnacentral:rRNA from 1 species
GACGAACGCUGGCGGCGUGCUUAACACAUGCAAGUCGAACGCUGAAGCCUAGCUUGCUGGGUGGAUGAGUGGCGAACGGGUGAGUAACACGUGAGUAACCUGCCCUCUUCUUUGGGAUAACGCCCGGAAACGGGUGCUAAUACUGGAUAUUCACUGAUCUUCGCAUGGGGGUUGGUGGAAAGGUUUUUUCUGGUGGGGGAUGGGCUCGCGGCCUAUCAGCUUGUUGGUGGGGUGAUGGCCUACCAAGGCUUUGACGGGUAGCCGGCCUGAGAGGGUGACCGGUCACAUUGGGACUGAGAUACGGCCCAGACUCCUACGGGAGGCAGCAGUGGGGAAUAUUGCACAAUGGGCGAAAGCCUGAUGCAGCGACGCCGCGUGAGGGAUGGAGGCCUUCGGGUUGUAAACCUCUUUCGCUCAUGGUCAAGCCGCAACGCUGGUUGUGGUGAGGGUAGUGGGUAAAGAAGCGCCGGCUAACUACGUGCCAGCAGCCGCGGUAAUACGUAGGGCGCGAGCGUUGUCCGGAAUUAUUGGGCGUAAAGGGCUUGUAUGCGGUUGGUCGCGUCUGCCGUGAAAUCCUCUGGCUUAACUGGGGGCGUGCGGUGGGUACGGGCUGACUUGAGUGCGGUAGGGUAGACUGGAACUCCUGGUGUAGCGUUGGAAUGCGCAGAUAUCAUGAAGAACACCGGUGGCGAAGGCGGUUCUCUGGGCCGUUACUGACGCUGAGGAGCUAAAGCUUGAGUAGCGAACAGG